AUGUACUGCAGGACAGGACUUUGUCCAGGUCGUAUAAUCGUAAUGUCAGGUAUUUUUGAAAAAUAUCUGCAAAAUUUCCUGACUUGUUUUCUGUGACUGACGACUGCAGACUCCAGCACAAAGUGAAAUGCUGAUCAGCAGCGUAUGAGGAGGCUUCAUGUUUUUAAGUGUUAAAGGUGCAGUCCACGUCUCUGAUGUGCCCAAUGUCUGUUUACAGCUGUGAUGUGUGAUGAGCGUGGAUUCUGCCUGUUCUUUAGCUGUCUGCUGGCUGGACACUACGACGGUGUAUCAUAUUACUGUUAGCUGCUCAGUGUCUGCUGAUUUAAAUCCUGUCAGAUGAGGCUCCUCGGGAUUAAAUGUUUUUAACUGAAACGUGGUCUGAUGUGCAUCUGUGUGGGGAAACUGACAUGAGAACGUCUGGGAUCCUGAUUAAAAACAAAAAAACAAAAAACACAACAGCCGACAGUGAAGAAGGAACGAGCCAGGCAGCUUCAGGAAGUCGUUUUAUUUACAACACAAGUCAAAGGGAGGCGCUGACGGGGCGAACCUGGAGGAUCUGGUGCGCUCGUACGGAGGAGGAAACACCACAACUAUCUCGUUAACCUUCAACAGCAGCACGUCAGAGCGAGGCAGCGGGGCAGCUUACCCGGGUGGGGGGCCGGCGGGGCCCCUCCUGCAGGAGCAGCACAGCAUGGAGCCUCCCAGCACAGCCAGACAGGCUGCAGCCCAGCCCAUGUACAGCCCAGCGCCCAGCUCGAACCUGCAGCCACAGGGAGGGGGGGCACAGGCAGCACAGCGUUUCAUAUCAGUCAACACUGCCCCAGAGGACACGGUGCGCUGCGUGGACCCACCUGACUCCUCCGUAGUACGGGUCAUAGAAGUCGUUCACCACCCGGGCAGCGUACCAGGACACCGCUGUCAGCGUGCACAGGCCUGAGGGACACACACACACACACACACACAGCUCCUGCUUUACUCUCACACUUACAGACUGAUACAAAGUGUGUGUGUGUGUGUGAACGGGGCCCAGGCUCCAUGUCCCCGACUGAAGCUCCUCUUCAGGUGUGAGUUAAAGGUCUUCCAGAAAAAAAUCCUCCAUCGGACGUUCCCAGUUAACCCUUAUUGGAGCCAUAAUGUAGUUUUUUAUUUGUCUUAUUUAUCUUCCUUUCUCCAUCUGAAACACUGACCGUGUGUGUGUGUACAUGCAGUUCUUACACUGAACACAAGGGGGAGAAUUAAUGAAGGGCGUGCCUGUAGUUGAGCUUUGGAUGCCAACAGUCAGGUGUGUCUCUGUGGGAAGGCUGGAGGUUUUUUGCUCUCAUGUUUGAGUUGAUGAAUGGAAACUUUACUGUUUGGACGGGAUAUGGACAAUUACAUUAUUACCUGUGUUAAG